AAAGGGCAAAGGGCAUACACAGAGGGUCAUCGAAAUGUCCAUAUGACAUGACAUGACGAUGCACAUUCAACAGGAAUAAUGCACUCAAUUCACUUGCACUGUAUUCGUAUCAGCCUACCGCAUACCUCUGGCAAUGAAGAUUGUCUCAAGGUGCUUUACAGAAACGAUUACACCUUAUAUUACACAGUUCUUGUUACAGGAACUAUACCACCAAGUACAAUAUCCCACACUAAUAAUUGAUGCGCAUACCCAUUCUCUGAUCUUACAAAAUCCUACUUUGAUAUACUAUACCUAAAGGCUAUGCAAUAUAAGAAAUUAAUGAAUAGACUUCAAUAAACUUUAAGCCUAGCAUGUAGGGAGGCCCGUCUGGAGCAAAAGGUAGAGGAAAGGAGUUCUAAUAAGGUUCCAUUGAGUGUGCUUGUAGUUCCUGUGAGUUAGCUGGAAGAGCACAAUAAGGUUCCAUUGAGUGUGCUUGUAGUUCCUGUGAGUUAGCUGGAAGAGCACAAUAAGGUUCCAUUGAGUGUGCUUAUAGUUCCUGUGAGUUAGCUGGAAGAGCACAAUAAGGUUCCAUUGAGUGUGCUUGUAGUUCCUGUGAGUUAGCUGGAAUUGCACCAUAGCAGCAACGUUACAUAAAUGUGUUGGAAUCCUAUGGAACAAAGGUACUGAUAAAAUCAGAGUCAAGCACCAGAGUAAGAUAACUAUGACUGUACGUAUGAAACCAAUAUUAAAAAAGACAGAGAGAGUCCAUAGAUACAUAAAUACUUCCAGAUACAUCAAAUCUAGAACAAAGUUUUUGUAAAAAUAAAAGGACAUGUCAUAUUGAUUUAUUGAUAAAAAUGCAAUGCUAAUAUUUCCUGAAAGAAAAGGCACUGGUUGAGUAGUUGAGAGCCCCUCAUCUUCAUGCGGCUCAUCACCAGGCUGCCCCUAUCUAUUCCUCAUACUUAAAAAAUGACUGUUGGGCUUUCCCUUUUACAGGCUCAUAAAUUACUCUCUCUCUUUUCGACGUCUUCCUCGUCCCUACUCCACAACACAUGGAAAGCAGAUUGAGAUGCCGCUGCAUUUUCAGUCAUAGAGGAAAGGCCUGAGUCCAUUAAAGAGGUAGAGGAACCCUUGAAGGGGGAUAUAACCCGGGUUAUCCUUAAAAGCCGUAAUGUGGGUCUGCAUUAACUUACAGUAAAUCUGAGAAUGAUUUACUAUGCUCUGUUCCAUACUAUAUUAAAAUCCAUUGCCUGUCAAUUUCGCUCUAACGCACACAAGAUGUUGUGUUAUUUCUUAUGUACACUGGGAUACGCAGCCAUGAGAAACAAAUAGAUUCCCCCUUCUGGAAAAAUAUCAUUAUGUUGUCUCAGUAGUUAUCAGAGUUAUCAAAGGCCAGUCGUCCCUCGGAAUUCUCCUCUAAAUUAUUACUUGGAUAGAGGAGAGAGACGGAUGUCUAAUCUCAGAGGACAUAUUAUGUUUGUAGCACACGCAUUUUCAUAGUGCUGCGCCGACCGCGCUGCUGCUGUUGCGCUGCUGCUGUUGUCAGGCUUGCAGCAUGCGCUUCUUCAACACGCCACUGCACUGGGCCGACCAACACAUGAUGGCUGGUGUUCCCAGUUACUGGAGUCACUCAGGUUUUGCUUAACUCUCACGCACGGACCCAUGGGAAUGGAAAAAUCAGUUUGGCCACAGGGUCCAGAUUUAUAUCGAGUUCAAAAGGACUGACAGCAUCUCGUAAAUUAAACAAGCACAAAUAAAGACACACAUGCAGUUAAAAGGGUUUAAGAUGACGUUGGACGUCAAACCUUCAUCCUCUUAUCUGUGCAGUUGUAUGCAAACCCAUGCCAGCUGAGAGGGAGUGAUAAAUAAAAAAGUUUUAAGGCAUUAGACAUUCAGACAUCCUGUAGGACGUUUCAGAUUUGAGACACAUUUUACAUCUGUGGACACUCAGAAAAUCACAGAUACAUAAAGUUCCCCCCGACUCUAAAUCUCUGUGAAUCUCUCUCUCUCUCUCUCAUGGUGGAAAAAAAAAAUGCAUCUCCAGUCUCUCUCUCUCCUCCCCCUUUUCUUGCCACGUCUGGUUAGCUAACAUUUCCAGGAGGACCUGAUGUUCAUCCAUUAGUCUGCUGCAGGAAGGAAUGAUUGGGUUCAUAUGGCCCUCCUCAACUUUUAGCCUCGAAUGAUUGAGGUGCUUCAGUCUCCAGCGAGCCGCAUCACUUCGCCAGCCAAGUUUUCCACUUCGUCAGGGUCUCAAGGACCGCACUCGGCGCGUUGCAUAUUGGCUUCGGAGAGGCGGCUGGAGAGUUUUCCCGGCUACCGUACUACAUCAGACCGUUGACUGGCCCUCCCGAGUAAGACCGGACUCUCACCAGGCAGAGGCCAUAUUGACUUUGGCAUGAGAAAAUACACCACAGUCCCCGGUGACAAAACGCGUUCCAAGAGAGAAUUGGGAUAUCUGCGAUGAGAUGAGAGGUACUCGAAAGAGCUAGAAAAAGGACUUUACAGAGCACGAGCGUGUGAUGCAAGUGGGUUUACAAACAGCGAGAUGAUCCGUCAAACAACCAUCCGCUAUGUUCACAGAGACAUUCUUUAGUCGUUGUUGUUACCACACUUGUGGUUUGUGGUUUGACCAUGCGAACAGCGUUAAUUACAACUCUGCUGCGCCCCUCAGUCUCAUUUUGAAGCCCCGCUAAUUUCACAGCCACUUGUAACUUUUUCAUGUGUUCACAGAGAAGGCCUCAGAUUUCCCACAUGUACAGUGCACACUGGAACGAGUCUGGGCCAGACCUGAGCCACACCUGGGCCAGACCGGGGCCAGAUCCAUUUCAGAAGGCCCAUCAGCUGUUCAUAGAUGUGGGGAGUGUGCAGUAACAACACAGCUUAGUUGUAAGUACAUUGUAAGUAACUAAAUAGACGUUUUGAGGGCAAAUUGGCUGUACUUGCUGUCAAGUCGAGUCACAUUUAUUUAUAUAGCCUAGCACAUUUAAAAAGACAACAGACGAGGGGAAUCAACUGACAAAGGAAAUUGAACAAGAAUAAAAGAAAAGAAUAAGAUCAAAAAACAAAAAAUAAAGCAGCUAAGACAAAUAAAAAUGAA